UACGUAGGGUGCAAGCGUUAUCCGGAAUUAUUGGGCGUAAAGAGCUCGUAGGCGGUUUGUCGCGUCUGCUGUGAAAACUCAGGGCUUAACCCUGAGCCUGCAGUGGGUACGGGCGGACUAGAGUGUGGUAGGGGAGAUCGGAAUUCCUGGUGUAGCGGUGGAAUGCGCAGAUAUCAGGAGGAACACCGGUGGCGAAGGCGGAUCUCUGGGCCAUAACUGACGCUGAGGAGCGAAAGCAUGGGGAGCGAACAGG
rnacentral:rRNA from 1 species